AGAUAAUCCAACAGACACUUUUAAGUUCAAUUUAAAUUUCAGGUAGCAAAUGUUGCCUUCUGCUCACGUAUAGCACUCAUCAUCUGGAAACCAAUGCAGUAUAACAUGAAAUGAAUAAUUCUUAAAGAUAUGGAAUUCAGAUAAAAUGUCUUUUGCUUUUCAGAGAUUUUUUGUUAAGAGAGAGAUGAUUUAGAUAGGCAUCUAUGAUUUUUCUUUGGGCUAAGCCUAUCUGUGCGUUUCUGAACUCCUUCACAAAGCAGCAGAGCCAGAUGACAAAAUCAGUUCCCCUGGGGUUGGGCUGACUCAGGACAUCUCCAUAUGGAUGUCUCGAGGAAAUUUAUACUCAACAUGUCCCCACAUGAACUCAUCAUCUUCCUUUUAAAACCGCGGUCUUAGAAGGCCCUUCAACUCUCUUCUUGCCUCUCACAUCAAACCAUUCAAUGAUUCCAGUAUUCAGCCCUUGCCUCUGGUCCUACCAUGGCCCUGUCCUGGGCCUCAGUUCCCUAAAGGUCUUCUUGCCUCCAAUAUCUCCCCUUUCCAAUCCCUGUUUUCAUGGCCACCAAAUCAAUCUCUGUAAAGUGUUAGCUGGACAAUGCUACUCUCACUCAGAAAUGUUCAGUCUCUCUUGUGUUGCUAUCUUUUGUUUGCCUCUGCAGACCCACUCUCUACCUUCUCUCCCUGUUUCGUAUACGGAAGCCCAACUUGAACGAACAGCUUCAGUGAACUCCUUUACCCUUUGGCUGCUGGUUCAUUUCUGAUAACGCGGAGCCCUGGAGGAGGCGAGUGAGGCCGGGGUAUUUAUUUCCCGGCUCCCUCCUUGUGUCACUGACCUGUAUUAGUCAGAAGAUCUCAGAACUACAAGUUGGAAGGAGCCAAGAGCCUUGAAUUAUUGCUUGGAGAUGGGAGCCCUGGCUCCUCAGGAACCCCCCUUUCGGACUUCACACGAGUGAGGAAUACCUGCUACUGAGUUGAGCCCCUGCGAUGCGGGGAUUUAUCUACUUCAACUACUAGGAUUACCCUAAUUAAUUGAGUAAAAUUCUUUCAGAAUAGAAAGAAGUUCUGUUCCUCAGUGAUGGUCCCAUGUUGGUCAUUAAUAUGUAGGCGAAACAGCCGUGAUCACCAGGAGCCUGCAGGAGUUCACAGACAACACAUUUUCCACUGGGAUAGUUUCC
rnacentral:lncRNA from 1 species